GACGAACGCUGGCGGCGUGCCUAAUACAUGCAAGUUGAGCGAUGAAGCUUGGUGCUUGCACCAAUUUGAAGAGCAGCGAACGGGUGAGUAACGCGUGGGGAAUCUGCCUUUGAGCGGGGGACAACAUUUGGAAACGAAUGCUAUACCGCAUAACAACUUUAAACAUAAGUUUUAAGUUUGAAAGAUGCAAUUGCAUCACUCAAAGAUGAUCCCGCGUUGUAUUAGCUAGUUGGUGAGGUAAAGGCUCACCAAGGCGAUGAUACAUAGCCGACCUGAGAGGGUGAUCGGCCACAUUGGGACUGAGACACGGCCCAAACUCCUACGGGAGGCAGCAGUAGGGAAUCUUCGGCAAUGGACGAAAGUCUGACCGAGCAACGCCGCGUGAGUGAAGAAGGUUUUCGGAUCGUAAAACUCUGUUGGUAGAGAAGAACGUUGGUGAGAGUGGAAAGCUCAUCAAGUGACGGUAACUACCCAGAAAGGGACGGCUAACUACGUG
rnacentral:rRNA from 1 species